GUUUGAGGCUUGUAACAUAGGGUUCCGUGUCAAAUCUGGCAGUGAGGUGGCUGGCUGCUUGAUAAGGGAUAUCGCCAGCUAAUAAGUUGGCAAUCUCGCGAUUAUAGGUGUAAUGAGUAUAUGCUGGACCAUACCUGCUAACAGUAACUUCGUGUCGAGACUUCAUGUCGAGACUCACCCGUUCGAGGGAAGGGUGAGUCUCGAUGCUGCACCAAGUGUUAUGGUAUUCGGAUCUUUCUUCUCUCAGUAUGGACUGCAUUUCCUACUCAUUUGAUCCUUGCCAUGUAGACUUAUCUCGUGAGGACAGCUUAUGGUUUGCUUUGGCUAAUUGUUAUGUAGCAUCAGAGGUCCCUCCACUGGUCUUUGAUUCUUCAGAUUCGAAUGUUAUGUUUUGUCUUCUUGAUCACGUGGCACAAUUUGACUGUUUGCAUCAUUUUGUCUUCCCUUGGUCAUAAUGGCAGCCUUAUUCUUUGGUCCAUAUUAAAGACUGCCAAAUAUGCUACUGUAUAAGAAUUCUCUUUUCUCUUUUGUGUUUGUAACUACCAUCUUCGGGAGACAUGGAAUGGGGCACUUCCUUUCUCUCUUUUAAGCAUAACAAGAUCUGUGUGGAGGAUACCAUCGUGGUCUACGAGAAGCAGCUGAAGGUAAGUUUUUGGUGAAGGCACGAGCAUACUGCUGAUAGUUGCAUCUGGCUUGACUAUAAUGCUUCUUUGGUAUCAUGAUCCUUGGACCUUUAUGAACGUGCAAUUAUACUAUUUGGCACCGAGGGCUGCAAUCAGUCCAACUAUAACACCUUUUCGGUAUUGCAGCCUUAAGGUGAGGGGUUGGAUUAUACAAGGUUGAUUCCGAGGGCAAGGCCAGGAAGGCAGUUGGAGAGACAGUUCUUCGCAUGGCCUUUCAACCAGUGUCUUCCCAUAAAAUAAGAUGGAG
rnacentral:lncRNA from 1 species